UAAAACAAAGGACAAUGGGCACUUUUGUAUGGGGAGUGUCCCAUGGAUGUAUACUGUUGAGACAUAUGUCGUUUUAAAGCUCUUAAUCGUAGUAUUAUUUUAUUGUAUGGCACCAACCUUGGACUACUUGCAGGGACCGAGCUAUAUAAAAAAAGAAGUUGCGCAUAUAAGCAGUUAUAUUUCCUUAUACGCGGGAUAUAAAAAGUUUUAGCGUAUUUUAUUCGAAAGAAUAUAAAAAAUGCUUUAUGUUUUUUGUAUCAACACCAAUGAUAAAGUAUUUAAAGGGACACAAUGUACAGUUUUAAAAAAUCGUCAUUCUAAAAAUUACUUGAUACACAGCGAAAUAAGAGUGUAUACAAAUGCCAUGUAUAUCAUGUGAAAAGUAUUUUUAUAAGCUAUUUUUCGUAUAAUAUAACUGGGGUCAAAUCGUUGCAGGGACCAAAAUAAAACCAUUUAAUGAGUUAAUUAAUUGUAGUUAAUUACGCCUUAACUUUUCUACUCAACGCCAGAUGUCGCUCUAAAGCAAAAUUCUACUUGACGUAAAACAUUUAUACAUAGCGGUAAUCUCGUCAGUCUUACUCCAUCAUUUUAAAAAGUAUAGACUAGUUUAUGGAUUUCUAAAGUUAUGUCAAGAUGACUCUGAAUGUAAUAUUGUCAACAAUAAUUGUCAAAAGACGCAAUUUAAAAUAUUCAACAUUGUAAUUACAAAAUAGUAUAUUUCUAAUACGCUAUAAUUUUCUCCAAUCGAAAGGCACUCCAUUCCAUUGAUCUCAGAGAGUAUGCUCCUUGAUGAUCUUCACUAUUCAUGGGAAACCAUACGGAAAUAAUGAGGAUGCAUCGACAUAAGAAGAAUCGAACAUGGGCAAGAUAAAGUUCAAGAAAAAAGCAAAUAUAAUGUGUACUUGUGUGUAGUCAAAGAAAGUUGAAAAAUAAAGCAUAAUUAAUGGCCAUAGAAUACAGAACCGAUACACGAACAUUAAGACUAUUAAAAAUAGACAUAUAGGUUGAUCGUACUACUCGUACUAAUGUAUUUUUUUUUUGUUCAAUUAUAUUAUUGCAUUAAAGUUAGAUUCUCUAGAUAUAUAUUAUUCAUAGGUUCUGUAUUCUAUACGAAUUGUUUCAGUGUAAUUAUUGUCCUAAAUACCGUUGACCGCCUGUCAACAGUAUUUGUUUCUACAUUACUAUCACAGAAGAUUUUAGGCCCUACAGUAGUUUUUGAAUUAGUAUUUACUAUGGACAAAUAUAGCGAAAUGUGAGUUUUUACCUAAAAUAUCAAUCUUUUGUGAACGUGGUGUAGAGUGUAUACCGCCUAAGACUGAAGUAGCUACGCGGGCAACGUUUUCAAAAUAGAAUCGUGUUCAUGGUCGGCCCAUGGUAAAAAUAAUUAGGUACCCGUAGAGCCGCUGGUGAACACUGUUUAUGAUAACACUUAAAAUAAACCCCGUGGACCCACCAGGAGAACAUAUUGGAGAGACUAGAGAUAAUACACCGCUUUAAGGGCGGUCGCACUCGGCAUUGACAUCUGGCGUCUAGAUGGCGGGUGGACCUCAGCGAAUUUCAAAGAAAUAUUUAUAAACAUCCAAUGACGUUCGGCUCGGACACCAGAUCUUCAAUCUCCUGAUUCCUGUGGAGUCUCCAGGUUCCAUCCUCUCCACGUGUGAGUCCUAGGAUUUUUCGCGCUGCCAGACUCCGAUGACUCGGGCACGUAGUCCAGAUGGGUGAGGAUCGUGCAGCCUGGAGGGCGUACUCUGAAGUUCCAAAUGGCCGAACACCGUCUAGACGUCCUAGGUAGGUCCCGCUGGAGAGACGAAAUGCAAAAAGACCUUGGCGAACUCGGCGCCGUCGACUAGAUGGCAACGGUUUUGGACAGAGAAGCAUGGCGGUCUUUGGUGUCGGAGGCCAAGAUCCACUUCGGGUCGCUGCGCCAUAGCAGUAAGUAAGUAUUUAUAAACAUACUGUACCUUCUGUGUACCUAACCCAAAACGAGAUAUUUAAGAAAAAGUCCACCCGCCAUUCUGAGGUCAGGAUUGCGGUUGGACCUAUGAAAUCUUGCAUUAUACCGCACUAAAAGUAUGCAGUUAUAUGGUACAGUCGCCAUCAGAUAUAUCGGAGUGGCCGAGGUGCUCAAAGAUCUCUAAACACGCACUCUAACCUCUUGACAGUAGAGGCAUGUUCAGAUAUUCGUGGGUACCUUGGCCGCUCCGAUAUAUAUGAUGGUGACUGUACCUUCAGUGUACCUCUGUAAAUAGAAAUAGAAACCGGUGUACCUCUCCCCAAAACAAGCUAGGCUAAGCUCAUGCACAAUAUAACUGCAUACUUUUAGUGGUAUAAUGCAAGAUUUCAUAGGUCCACCCGUCAUCCUGACGUCAGGUUGGCGGGUGGACCGUUUUGUAAAAUAUCUCGUUUUGGGGAAAGGUACACUGGUUUCUAUUAAAGGUACACUGAGGUACAGUCAGCAUCAAAUACUUUGUAGCAACCAAAGUAGCCAAAUAGUUCGGUACACCAUAUAUUUAGUAUGGUGUACCGAACUAUUUGGCCACUUUGACUGCUACAAAGUAUUUGACGCUGACUGUACACAGAAGGUACAAUAUGUUUAUAAAUAUUUCUUUGAAAUUCGCUGAGGUCCAUCGCCAUCCUGACGCUUACCAUAUAUCUAAGGACCGACCUUAGGGGCAAUAACGAUAGUGCUAUCGUGCUGUUUAACGCAACUAGAUGCGAUCAAUCGCGUGCGUAAUGCGAACUCAUCAACCAAUCACGUUGUGGUACUUGUGGCGUUAGACUGCACGAUUGGCUCAAACUCGUGUGCGUAACACCGCUGUACUGGCCCCAUUCUUAUUGCCCGUAAGGCCCGUCCUCAGAUAUAUUAUGUCAAUGACACAGUCGCGAUUUUACAAAAUCACAUCGCUUCUGCUACCAAAUUGUUGAGCAUAACGUUUUCCUAUCCAUAGGUUCCAUCUGUCCAGUAGGAUCCACCAUCUCGAUCCACCAGAUUGAAGAGAUUUACUUAACUGAUGGAUCGUGAUAAUGAAACCUACUGAAUAGAGCGGGUCGAUUGGAUAUAACAAAGUACGCUUAUAUGAAACGCUACUCCGGUGUGCGAGUGAGACAGUCAGGCCAAUUUGAACUUGCAUUUGACAGAAAACUGUCUCCAUCAAACGCUACCAGUUCCAUUGCCCGCCUCUUCGCUGCCUUCUAUAGUGGUUCAAUCUUACCUUGCUUAUCCUUUUGACCGCCGUAGUCUGAUAUAUCAGACAAUCAAUACCCAGCUCGUGUCGCCGCAGUCUGAUAAAUAAGACAUUUUUUUUCAUGUUUUUCUCAAGACAUUCUUUACUUUAAUAAAGUUUACUUUGGUUCUUUGCAUAAGUAAGUCGCAGUAAUUGUUAAUUAAGUAACAGUGAGACUGAUCUGUUGAUUUUAUUAUAUUUUCUAGUUGAAAAUAAACUUUAAUUAUACCAUUAGAUUAUGUAUGAUUUUACCCCAAGUCUCGUAGCCAAAGUCUUAUUUAAAAGACACCAGUGAUGUGACGAUGAUUGGUAUUGAAAUAUCUACGUCGACUUUCUCAUUCGAUGUUUAGAUUUACGACGUAAGAUUUAUGCAUGCGACUGACCUUACUUAGCUAACCUAUUUUAUCACUUCGAUAUGUUCUUAUAAAAUUAUGACUUAAGUUGUCUAUUAUUCUACAAUGUCGUCCGCUGAAGAAUUAAUUAGAAUUUUAGAAGGAGCGCACGAAAAUGAAGACGAAAACGACAUGCCAUGAUGGCCUCGCAGUAAAUGAUCGAGUACCUAAUCCUUGUCAUUGUGAUCCCGAUCCAAGCAGUUCCACUUUACCAUUUACUCUUUGGACAUUUUGAUUCCAUGGAUGUUUUGACCCUUGGACAUUUUGACACUUGGACAUAUUGAGUCCUUGGACGUUUUCAAAGUUGAACUUAGAAAUAAAUAUAUUUGAAUUGUACUAGUGCCUACCUUCCAGGGUUUCGUGAAGUCGGUUUUUUUCAUCGAUGAUAGAUAUUUGAAUCGAUAAAUAAGGCGAGACUCUGUUAUCGUGGUUCAUCGGUAAUCCCUACUAAGUUAUUAUAUUCCGCAAUAAUAAUCAAUACAGACUACGCCGUCGUCUUAAAAAUGAGACCGCAUGUGACGUCAAAGAUAUAACUUAGAAAAUUUUAGUGGUGUAGAUUACUCGAUAUUUCAAAGUUAUGUUAGGUCAACAAAAUAUAUAAGAAGGUACUGUUUAGUAGUUUUAAAACUUUGAAAACUAUAAUAAUAUUGAGUUUACAAUAUUUAUUUAACAAAGAAUUGUGUUACUGUGUAAAAUUUUAUGAUUUAUUAUGCCAAACAACGUUGAAAUUUUCAGAUUCGAUACGUUUCUAAUGUGAUCAAUCCUCUCCCUACUAGUGUCAACUUAUCAACGAAAAUACAAUGAAGCCUUCGCCAAUGUCUGAAAUAGUAGACCGCUCAUGACGUCACAGAUACGAAAUAAAAAAUAAUAGUGAUGUAGCAAAGUCCAUCAAUAAAUUUGCAUAGCUGGUAAAAUUCACAGAUUCAAUCCAUUAAUAAAGGGACGAAACCAUAAAAAAGACAUUGGUAAACGUGAUUUAAUUAUUAUAAUAUUUUUUUUUAAUGAUAAGGUUGUAAAAAAUGAAGUUAAUCACUGUAAACUAUAAACAAUAAAAUAUUUUAUCGUAAGUUAUGUGGCAAGCACUACACAGUUUGUUAUUACUUAGUAUAGGCGGCGACACGGGCACGUCCGAUGACAUCCUAAGCGGCGUUCAAAAGGUUAUGAAUAAAAAGGGGCGUGCACACCGAUAUUAGAGUAAUAUUGGAAUCAUAUCAGUUAGUUGCGGGCGUCUCGCUCGCACAAAUACAUGCGUAUAAGUGCGAAAUGAACGCACGAAUGACAGCUAACUGGUAUCAUUCCAAUAUUAUUCUAAAAUUGGUUUAAUGUCAGUUGCACUUUCGAAUUGGCCUACAUAGCGAUUUCCUUAGCCUGCACACCGGAUCGGCGUGUGGGCCGGCAUCUAGCUAAUGUAAAGCCACCUCAUUAGGUGCUUUUAGCCUUUUGAACGGCAAGAACACCUAAAGAUGUGGUGAGAGAAAGCCGCGCGUCCCUCAUGCACUGCACUAGCUUUACAGCUUGCAUUGCGACCAAUGUAUGCCGCUCACCGCCCCGCCGGUCGCGUGGGUCCAAUCCGCGGCCCUAGAAGACGUACUUUACAUAUAAACAAGAGCACGCGAGCAUUUUGCGAGUUGUGAAUGUGUACUUGUGUUAUCUAGGCGCACAAACGGUUACAAUAACAAGAAGUGUACACCGCGUGUGCAGUCCAACACGGGAGCACGGGUGCGAUUCGAAAAUAACGCGCUAGCGACGCAUUACGACAUUGAUAUUUUACCCUUUGAACGCCAUAACAAAAACGUUACUCACAUGCCAAGGUCACGGGCGCAAGUGAGCUUGAAAGUGCAUGAGUAUUACAUUAGGGACUUUGACAGCGAUUAUAACAGCUAUAAUCAUUAAUGUUUUAAUGGCAGUGACGGCGCCUUUAGGUGUUCUUGACGUUCAAAAGGUUAAGGGCGUUUGCUAGCUGGCGCUAGUGCACGGAGCGGGCAAACACGCGCAGGUGCCUUUGUAAGUAAAAUCAGUCACACGCGUCCGCGCCAGUUAGCGUUGCUCAUACUGUAAGCCGCACGCCCGCUCCAUGCACACGCGCGACGUUGCGGACGCCCUAUGCCCUAAACCUUACUUGAAAGUGUGAAGGUUACUCUGACAGCGGCUAUAUCAGCUAUAAUGUAUUUAUGACGCUUUGAGCAUAGCUAGUUACGACGCCUUAAGGUAUUCUUGGCGUUCAAAAGGUUAAGGGCGUUUGCUAGCUGGCGCGAGUGCACGGAGCGGGUGCACGCGCGCGGGUGCCUUUGUAGGUAAAAUUCGUCGCACGCGUCCGCGCCAGCUAGCGUCGCCAGUUACUGUUUUUCGUUAACCCGCUCCAGCUAGCAAACUGAUCGCAAAUGGUCCGAGAUUGGCGCAAUAACCAUGCAUUCCCUUAUCUGGAUCUGGAUGCACCUAUUCACCAAUGCUUGCUUUAAAGUAACUUGUCGACUCGUCCUGAUAAUAUUUGUGCGACCGUGAAGAAAAUCUAUGCCGUCACUUAUUUUUCAAUUUAUAUGAAAUAAAGAUGUUAAAUGUA